AGUAUGGCUGUAAUAGCGAACGGUUAUUAAUUUGGUUCUCUCGUCGACGGGAUUGGGCUUGUUGGGUUCCAAGCUUUUUCGAGGGGCAGAGGGCGAGAGAGAGAGAGGAGAGAACGAGAUGAUUUACAGGAAGUGGUCGCUGCUCUCAUCGACGAUGGUGAUCUGGGGAGGGAUCGCCUCUCUUUGCCUCGCCGACGUCUUCCUCUUUGGCGGAAAGGAGAAAUUUCAGGAGUAUCUAUAUCGUGAAGGUGAGAAGCUCCGGCAACAGGAUAGGGUCAUGAUGGCUGACAGGAGCAAAGCGAAGAUGAGUUAAGAGGAGAAGGUUAGAUGAUGCAAAAACAGCUGUGUUUCCUCAAAUCAUUUUGCCAAGUUAGAUUCUUGGCCAUAAAGGUGUAGCUUCAAUAAUUGUUGCAUUGAUGACUCUUUGUGUGUAAGUUUGGUAAAAGUUUGUGCUCAUUAUCUGGCUUGUGAAGGAAGUUAUUUUUCCUUGUCUAGGGAGAUAAUUUGUGUUGUUUAAUUGUCCUUUUUCAACUCCUAAAGUUAAAAGAAGAAAAAAAAAACGUCCUAAAAA